AAUAAGAGAAUGACUACAAAUCAGAUUUUUGCUCCUGAUUUUCAGUUUUUUCCUCCUGAUAAAAUUCAAAUCUAACUAAAAAUGCUAAGAAUCAGGAGUAAAAAUCUAAUUUGUCAUUCUCUUAUU
rfam:Gossypium hirsutum cultivar TM-1 chromosome 13, whole genome shotgun sequence